GGCAGUGUAUAUUUGAUAAUGUUGAUUUAUACACUUCUGUUAACCUCCCACGUGCAGGUCAUUUCCUGGCUUCUUUACCAAAAGGAAAGGCAAAAACUGCUUUUCACCCUUACAAACCACUCCAGGGAAGCAAUGGCUGUAAGCCAUUCAGUGUGUAUGUAUAUUUGGUGAAUAAGGGCUGUACCAGCACGCCUUCUGCAGCUGAAGAGCUGGAGUUGAGUCAAGCAGGGUUGGGGAAGAGGUCCCUCACUUUGACGGAUGAUAUGAGCCAUGCAAUGGUAAAUAAAAUUCUCAUUGAAGAAUAUCCCAAAAUGGAGGCGGUGGAAGGGUGGUUGUUCUACAAGGCUUCAGGUGGCCACGGUAGAAGAAAAUUGCUUGCCAUUCCUCCUGAUGUAGACGGUUAUACAGGUAGACUGAUUCGCAGUGUUUCGGGUGCUGGGAAGACGACCAUGUACAUUGUUCCACUGCAGCAGGACCUUGAUCUUACUCCACUGCCAUCUGAUGCCACUGAAUUUCAAAAAAUGCCUAAGGCUGCAUGCCAAGUGUGCAAAGAAAACAUGCCUCUGCAUAUCCUAGCAUUGCACAUCGAGGGUUGUAUGGAGUCUGCAGCAGAUGAUGAUGAUGAUGAGGACUGGCAGAAUGAGGUCCAGGUUCUUUCUGUCACAAACUCACCACUUGCGCACCCUAACAAAGAGUCCAGAGAUUGUGGCCAGGAUAGAAAGGAAUGCCCUAUAUGUUGUGGCUGCUUUCCAUCAGAUGAAAUUGUUCUGCAUGCAAGCCUGUGUGGGGAAAGUCUACAGGGCAUGUUGAACUACAGUACAGACAGCUGUGUGCUACGCGAGGGAAGCGUAUCUAUGGCCGAUAUGUCUAGUGACGAUGAUGUCCUCCAGUGGCUUGCAAGCCAAGUAGAUGCAAGCAAAGAUUUUAAGAUCUGCAUCACCCGGGACAACCUCGUCCAAAGAGGCCUAAUUCAGUGGCAGAGACAGAAUAAGGGCUCCCCUGUCAACAAACUCAAUGUGACUUUCAUUGGUGAAGCUGGAAUCGACACUGGAGCAUUAAGCAAAUAAUUUUUGAAUGAAAUGAUGCAUGGCAUUGAGAGGCGAUUGUUUGAGGGCAGUGGCAAGAAGGGAAAGAGUCCUGUCUACUCUAUGUGUGACCUAGAAAAUGGUUUCUACAGGGGAUUUUGAUGCUCUGCAGCUGACCAAAGAUGUGUGGAUGAUCUUGAAUAUGCUUUACUCAUAGAAAGGGUGGAGGCAGCAACUGAUCUGACACAGUUGACAGAUGAAAUCGUGAGUUGUGCUUACACUGGUUUGCUAAAGAUGGACCGAAAGGACAGUAUCAUAAGAGCCAUUGUUCUGCAUGCUACAAUGCGUCUAACUCCUAUGCUUCAGCAAAUUAGAAAUGGGAUGAAGAUCUACAACCUUCUGGAUGUGAUUGGGAAGCAUCAAACUCUCUGCUCAAACCUGUUUGUCCCCAAAGAGGACGAUGACAGAGUCAGAAAUGAAGACCAGAAAAUGUGUGAGCCUCUGACCCAAGAGGAGCUGCUAAGUGAAGGGCACUGGAAUCAACAAAAACACGCAAGCCUGUCUGUCCCAACAGAAAUGCAGUGGUUAACUGGACAAAGGCACAAGCCCAUUCUUCCAUCAGAGAGGGCAGAUUUUAAAAUAAAUCUAAGAUUUGAACACCACUGUAAUGAGAAAAUGCCUGGUCACCACAUUUGUUUCCCACUUGUAAGUGCCUGCACAAAUACAAUAACUAUUCCUGUCGAACAUAUGAAAACAUACACAGAGUUCAGAGAUAUAAUGACAGUAGCAAUCAGAAUGGGUAGAGACUUCGGUCGUGUGUAGAGGUCAUGUUUUGUGACCACUGAUGUUUACUUGAAAGUCAGCCAGUAUUGUGAAUUUUUUUAGGCAUUUUUGUUAAAUCUGUUCAGUGAGCUAUUUAUUGUUCUGAGAAAGUCUUAAUAAAAAAAAUACAGAUAGCAUAACCCUAAUCAUAAAAACAGCUCAAUAUUACAGUUCGGUUCUUUACACUUGAUUCUCCCAUUGCAUUGUUUUUUUAGUUUGGGAUCACUGCUAACAAUUUAUUUGAAAAAAGGUCAUUUAAGAACUCUGUAUUUGCAUUUUGUUUACAGCGCACUGACAAAUGUACAUGUAAUAUAGAACCUUGAAAUGUGAUGCUGUUCCUCAUAUUACAAGGUUACUUGUACUGUUGAAAAGUUGAAAAGUUGAAAUUGUUCAGUCUUCCACAUAUGCAUUAGUUUCAACAUGUGUAAGGCAAAUUCAUGUCAUUCAAGUGAAAUCAACUUUGUGGGGGUUUGGAUUUUUUAAUAAAUCGUCAGCAAAAAUUAACUUGACAACAAUAAAUAUGGAUAUAAUGCGGUCUGUGGCCUUUAUCAUUUUUUUCAUUGUGAAUAUUAACUGAAGUGUUUUACUUGAGUAUGUAUACAGUAUUAUGCUGUAAAAUGGAACU